GCUGCCCCUAGAGGCGGUUCAGGUGUGGCUGCUGUGUCACAUGUGCGUCAGUAGGUGGCAGAGAGGAGAGAGGCUGUGUCUACAUUCAGCGUUCUGACCUGUGAACUUGUGGAUGAUUAGUGGCCUAGUAUU